ensembl:lncRNA
CUGCACUUCGAUUGCAUCUCAGCUGUUUCAUUUGAUAUCCAUUAUGGUGGCAUACAGAGCCCAAAUUAUGAAAAUUGUGUCAGUGUCCAAAUAUUUCUGGUCCUAACUGUAUAAUUAAGGUGUGUUUCUGGUUCCCUUUAGUGUUUCCUUGUAUUUAAGGUGUGUUCUAUAUAUCUGUAUACCUUAUGUCUGUUUUUUGUUGGAUCGUUUUUCUCAAAUUCUUUCUUGGGUUUUCACAUUCCUCGUCCAACCAUUUCUCAUAGUUGUUAAUGUAUUACCUUUUGUUUAUUUAGAAAGUUCUCUAGCUGGGGUUGGAUUUGUUUUUGGCACUGCAGCCAAGUAAGUAUGUUCGUAUAGUUCAUAUACUAUAUAAAUACAUUUCCCCAAAACCCUCCCGUAGAUUAUGUACACACUGAUCUUUUGACAGAGCUGCUGUUGUGAUCCAUUUGCUAGUAAGGUUACCACAGUUGUGUUAAGGAAGGCAUAUUAGGGAGGAGAUGCUGCCCUCUUCAGGUCGACGUUGGUCCGGUUCUGGUGCAGUUCUGGCAUUCAGGUCACCAAAAACUAAUACAUGUCUAUGGACCUGGAACUUCUCUCCAGAAUGAAGAAGACGGGGGUCUCCCUGAGUGCUCAGACAGGUUUGCUGUAAUCUUCUGAGCUGUUUUGUCUCGUGACUGACCGUACGAGGUGCUGUGGUGUCAAGGUGGAAUGAAGGGGACCUCAAGGUGAGACAUACUGUGUGUCAUUUCUUUAUUAAGGUGCAUUUCAGUAAUAUAAAAUGAUCCUCGUCCUCCUCAGCCUCCUCCUCUUCCUCCUCACCCUUCUCCUCUUCCUCCUCACCCUUCUCCUCUUCCUACUGUUAAAUUCCGUAUCCUCUUCUUCAUCUUCCUCCCUCUUCUUCAUCUUCAUCCCUUUUUGUUUCUAUCCGCUGCGCUGAUGGACAAAGGAAUUCUGGGUAAGGAAAUGUAUUUUCAACUCUUCAUUUCUUUUCUGAUUAAUAAAAAACGACGAGAUAAUGGUGAGGGCCACCUACGACCUUCGCCAAAACCACGCCGAUGAAAAUUGUCAUUACCCCCUUCUGAAGUCCGUUACUGACGUGUAGUGAAUCUGUUUCAUUUCCAG